AUUGAACGCUGGCGGCAGGCCUAACACAUGCAAGUCGAACGGUAGCACAGAGAGCUUGCUCUUGGGUGACGAGUGGCGGACGGGUGAGUAAUGUCUGGGAAACUGCCUGAUGGAGGGGGAUAACUACUGGAAACGGUAGCUAAUACCGCAUAACGUCGCAAGACCAAAGAGGGGGACCUUCGGGCCUCUUGCCAUCAGAUGUGCCCAGAUGGGAUUAGCUAGUAGGUGGGGUAACGGCUCACCUAGGCGACGAUCCCUAGCUGGUCUGAGAGGAUGACCAGCCACACUGGAACUGAGACACGGUCCAGACUCCUACGGGAGGCAGCAGUGGGGAAUAUUGCACAAUGGGCGCAAGCCUGAUGCAGCCAUGCCGCGUGUAUGAAGAAGGCC
rnacentral:rRNA from 1 species